UGUAGGGUCAUUCUGCUUAAGUCUUGUGUUUGUGGAUUGAAGAGACACACACAGACUAUGGACAAAGGCUAUGGUGGAGUUUGGCUAAUUUGUUUUCUUCCACCUAUAUAAGAAUAUCCUACAAACAAAUCUGAAACUCUAGUGGGGGUAUUUUAUUUUCACUGGGUCUCCUGUGAAGCCCCAGGCACAUGAACCUGGCUUUGCUUGGUAAGAGUUUAGAACAGAGAUACAGACUGGGCUGGAUUCCCUCAGCAGACAGCAACUGGAAUUUUCUUCCUUUGUUUACCUUCAAAGAAGCCAGGCUUAGGGAGCCUAGCAGAGACAACAACCUUCAAAAAUCAAGGCCAGUUUUUUCCAAAAUGGUUGCAGUUGCUGGGAUCUUCUCAUUGCUUCCAUUCCGUGGCAAACAGAGAGAGAGCGAGCAUGCACCCCAUCCCAGAAGAGUGUAAGUCAUCCAGGACUACUUUUCUUUGUCAUCUUUGGGAGUGAGUUCCAGAGUCAUGGGCUGAUUGCUGAAAAUCUUCUGUCUCCUGUACUCAGAAGCCUCACACCUGAGGACAGCUGUUCCAUUAUUCCACAAGAACUUAGCUGUUGUGGAAAGUCAUGCUCAUGCAGGGUGAAGCAGUUCCCUGGGGUAACUUGAUAUAGAGGCAUUUGAAGAUGAAGUCUAACACCAUCCAUGAGGAGCCACGGCAGAGAUCAGAACACAGACAAGGUGAUUGGCUGCUAUGUUGUGAACCGACCAGCGCUUGCUAAAGCAUCAGGACCCCAAGGGGCUUCCAGUCGAAGCACAAGACAAGAGAGAACAGAAAGAUACAGACCCAGGGGAGCAGAAGGAUGUUAGAUAUUGUACAGCCAUAAAGACAGGUACCAUUCCUGUCCCGAAGAGCUUACAAUGUGAUAAUGAAGAGAGAGAAUUUUUGUAAGCAAAUUGUAUUUGGAACAACUUGCAAAUCCAUCACAAAGUCACAACGUCCACCACAACUGGCACUAACUGGCCCCAGUGCUGGCCGUCUUAGCAGAGAGGCCAAAGACUGAAUAAGCCAUAGAGACUGAACUGCUUUAAAAGUAGGCUUGGAAGGAUGGGAUAGGUCGGUAAAUGUCAAUUUCACUGCGCACGCACACACAAACCGGUGACAAUGUAUUUCCAUCGACGAUAAUCUUACUUUGCCUGUAUGUAAAUUUUGGAGAAUGCUACUUGGGAACCUAUCAGAGUUUGACUUAAGGCUAUUUACUUUGAAUAUUUUGACAUGUGAUGUUGGCCAUUUGUGUUUUGAUGGUUAUAAAACUUUAACUUUUGGAACUCCA